UUGUGCCAUUACUGAAAUCUGCAGAUCUGGAAAGGCAAACUGACUCUUUCAUAUGUACAUGCAGCUUCUUCCACAAGGAAUAAUGGGAAAGCUAAGGUCUACUUUUCUUAAAAAUGAAGUUCCUGGAAUAGAAUAGACUGAACUUUCAUCCAGGAUAUUAACAGCUGUACUGUAGUUAAUUAUCUUUAUUCCAGAUACAAUUAUGAUCACUUAUCCAUUAUUUUUUUAUUAAUGCUUGCAAUGUACUAUGUCUCCUUUAUAAGAUUUAAUAAAUUGGGGUAAGGAUGUUCAACAACAUUUGCUGACUUGUGAUGUGGCAGUCUUAUUUCAAGAAUUUCAUGGAUCACAUUCUCACAGCAUCUUUUUUGAAAGGGCGGGGGAAGACUUACUAGCCUGUCAGCUCCGUUACUUGUCAACUUUCCCUAGGGGUUUCAAGAAUUGUCAGAAUGUCAACAUCCAACUUGCCUUGCAGUCACAUUUCAAAGAAGACAAUGAGCUUUAUAACUUGCAAGCAUUCUGUGGAUGGCUAUCGUUAACCAAGUGCCUGGACAAUGAUUACUAUAAGAAGCAUGUACAUGAGUCUGCAAGACAGCCUCAGCUUCACUGAUAUGUGAGCCACACAUUUGAGGACUGACUUUGGCUUGGACUUGGAAACAUUGUAAAUUUGCUGCAACCACCUUUUCAAGUGGCACUCACUAAUGCAAAUUUACAACUGCUCAUAGCACAAGGAGUUCUCUUAUAACACACCUAAGUGAAUGAGAACUUUACACAGCUGGAUCCGUGAUGGAAACCAAUUACACUCUCUGCAGCUGCUUAUUGGUCUCAGUGAAAGCUACUCAUCACAUACAUACUUCUUUUCAAAUGGUUGCAUUAAAUGCAGUUGAAGCCCAUUGAGUACUAUGCAAAGAAGAUGUUCCACAAGAUGUCAUGAAGAAUUAUUAGAAAUUGAAGCAACACCCGGUAACAUAUUCUUGUAUUGUUGCGUCAGGACUACAAUUAUUUCGAAAUUGAACUGUCCAUUUAUUAAUCCAAAGAUGUGAACAAGAGAUCUCAUGAAACUUGGUUCCCUAGUGUGUGAUCUCACACACAACUUGUUGACUCUGCUUUAUGAGUUGUGGUUGGAUGUGUUUCUGUUGAUGGAUUGACUGUACCAGUAAGGAUAUCAACUCGUAACUCAUUGGCCAAAUGAUUACCGUCAAUGGAAUAUUCAAAAUUGGAUGUGUUUUGACUCAGUAUGCACUGCACUUUUGGAGGAACUCUGAAGAAGUUUAAAAUCAUUUUUUCUAAGUUUGAAAUCUAGCCGGAUUUAAUAAUAUGAUGCAGAGAAUAAUUGUACAUGGAUCAAAUCAGUUCAAUUUCAGAUGGAUUUGAAGGGAACAAUCCUCGUUCCUUACAGCUUCUAUGAAAUCUUACUACUUAUUCAUUAGUAUGUUUGUUGUGUUGGUAUUGUUCCUACUGCGUUCUUACUUCAAGAAUAUUAACACUCUCUUACUCUCAUUGAAGUUGAAAAACAGGUCUUUAGUGUCUUGUACAAAAUAUCUACUGGACAAAUUUGCUUUCCAAACUUGAUCCAAUAUCUGCCAUUUUAAGGACAAUACAUUAUGAAUUUGGAUUGCGACUUUGAUGGAUGCAUGAGGGUAAAACGGUGAAUUGUGAAUGUGCAUGUGCUGUUAGUUUGAAAAAUGAAAUAAGUGGAUCUCUGUUGGCUUGUCGUGGGUGAGCGUCAUGCAAUCCAUAUUCAUAAUGCAGUUUGUAAGGAUUCGAAGCAUCAGUGAUUUUUCAGUAUAAGUAAUUAACGGUUGCUUUUCAAGCUCUGUCAAUUUUUUCAUAAAAUCAUUAAUUUCUUACUGUUUCACUUAAGUAAAAACGCAGCUGUUUAAAAUUUACAUGAUGAAAAGGCUUGGAAAUGGUUGAUUGCCUGAAAUCAGUGUCACUGAAUUUUAACUUAAUUUUCAAUGUAAUCCCUUGUUUUUGAUUCCUCUAUUAAAAUGUGUGUGUAUGAUUGGACAAAGAAUCAGAAUGGGGGCUUUCAAAUUUAUUGACAGUAAUGGCUGUAAUAGAGAGCUUUUAUCUCCCAAAAUGCAUUUUUGGUACAU